UACGUAGGGUGCGAGCGUUAAUCGGAGUUACUGGGCGUAAAGCGUGCGCAGGCGGUUUUGUAAGACAGAUAUGAAAUCCCCGGGCUUAACCUGGGAACUGCAUUUGUGACUGCAAGACUAGAGUGCGGCAGAGGGGGGUAGAAUUCCACGUGUAGCGGUGAAAUGCGUAGAUAUGUGGAGGAAUACCGAUGGCGAAGGCAGCUCCCUGGGUUGACACUGACGCUCAUGCGCGAAAGCGUGGGGAGCAAACAGG
rnacentral:rRNA from 1 species